UCCCGUCUGCAACCAUGCAAACCCAUGCAAACCCUAUUUUCACUUUGUACUCUAUAAUGAUAGCCCCUCUUUGAUGAUACAAACAACAAACUAUAUACCAAAAAUCAACAGCGUCAUCAGGUUGCUAGUGUCAAGUAAAGAAAUCCAGAGGUAAUUCAGGUCGGACAUUCUGCUUAGGUACGGGUAACUGGGAAGGAGCUUCAGUAGGUACUAAAUUACUAGUGGAAGUUAGUGAAGUUUCAGUUGCUACUAAACCGGAAACACUUACAGGAGGUGUAUUAGAUGGAUUAUCUAAACUUCGUUCACUUGUUUCUGAUGUAACUGCUGCACUUGAUUCUGAUGUGGGUCCUGCUGCACUAAUAGUUGAUUCUGAAGGCAAAUUAGAGCCUGUAUCUGAAGCUGGACGAGCACUAGUUUCUGCUGUUGGUAUUUCCACUGAUUCUGAGACGGCUGUUUCAGAUGGAGGAACGCCUGUUUCUGAUGGAGGACCACCUGCUUCUGAUGGAGGAGCGCCUGUUUCUGAGGUAGGCGGAGCGCCUGAUUCUGAGGUAGGCGGAGCACCUGAUUCUGAGGUAGGCAGAGCUCCUGAUUCCGAGGUAGGCAGAGCUCCUGAUUCUGCUGCAGGAGCUGUUGAUUCUUCCCCUGAUUCUGCUGUAGGAGGAGCUCCUGAUUCUGCAGAUGCAGAAGCUCCUGCUUCCACAGCUGGGGGAGCUCCUGCUUCUGCUACCGCAGGAGCAGCUGAUUCUGAUGUAGGAGUGGUUCCCUGUGUCGAAUUAGAACCUUCAAGUAACAAUGGCUUGUUCGCUGCUUGUAGUGAUCCCUGAAUCCCAGCAGUAGUCUUUUUCUGACCAGGAUUUGGAGCAUAUAAAGAUGCCAUUCCUGGGGGAAGAAUCUCAAUGGGUAGCUUCUUCGCAGCGUCAGCUAAACUGGUAAGUUUGGGUUCCUCAAGAGAAGCCAAGAAGGCAGCUGCAGCAUCUGUCGUUGUUGAAGGACCAUGCUCCAUCUCCUUCUGUAAAACCUUGUUCCAAGCCUGAACCAGAGUCCUUAGAGAAGGUCGCCCAUGAGCCUGCAGAACAUAAGGAUAGUCAGACCAGAGUCUAACCUAAAACACCAGAAAUUUUUUAAAAUAAAAUUUAAAUCGUACGUGGGCAUGUAAUACAGCUUCAGCGAGCAUUCCGGUAUCCUGCCAUGCUUUUUCCAUCAAUGCAUUAUCUCCUAAGAGUGCAGCUGCAAAUGCUGCCUCUCGUCCAGCACCAACAGCAAUUAAAUUGUUUACCAAUCCCUGUAGUAUAGAUUAAUGAUCAAGUCACUCAUCCAACUCAGCACACACAAAAUUUAUCUUAAAACAUCAAGUGCACUGAUUACCGAAAAGAAUGCGUAUCAAUAUCACUGCAAAUUCCCAGGUCUUUAAUUAAGGAAAACAUACAAAACAUGGAGGAAUAUCAAAUGCCCUAAUCGUCUCCUGAUAUACGAAUCAUAUUUUUUUGUGAUCACUUUUAUCUAAUGCCAUAAUUUCUACCUCUUUUUAUGUGUUUCUGUUUAAGCUGCAUUCUACCUUAUGAAUCUCAAUACAUGCACUCAUAUUUCCUCAACGAGUGCCAAAAUUCAUUCAGUCUUUAAGGUUACUAACUUUAUCCAAGGUCAGAAACAACUUAAAAUUUCAUUUCAUAAUUUUAUCAUAGUAUUGUUGGCUACUUUGCUUUCAACUUGAGUCACAUUAUAGAACUUUAUAGAAAGCACAGCAUAACCAACUCCAAUUCCUAGUUAGUACUUUGAGCCACAUUAACUACAAGGUUAAUGAAAUAGAAAAUAAAGUAACCUGUGUCAAGCAGUGAUGAUAAAAACAAGAAAGAUAAUUACGAGGUCAGAAGUUUCCAAUAAAAUCAUGGAUCUGGUCCCAAGUGAUGGUGCACAGCAAUUGUCAUAAAUUGUGCUAAAUGACUGUAGACUAUAUAACUCAAAACUCAUACACGUAACCAUACAACACAGAUCAACCAUGGAAGAUGGGAAGAAGGCUAGAAAUUAUGUGCUAACUCAUGAAUCACUUUUUCAUUCUAAUGCAACUUAAAAAAUUAAAAUGCAAUAAAAACAAAUCAAAAAAUAGGACAUACACCGAGACGAGUCAACUCCCCAUGAUUCGCCAGUCGUAAGGCUAGCCCCCUUAAUUCAUGCCCCCGUAAAGCUCCCUUCACUGAACCAGCUGCAGCUAACCUCUUAAGAGCUUCACGAGCAAUUUCACCUUGAGCAGUAGCAUCCGCCGCAUCAAUAAGAUCAAGGAAUUCCUUGGCAAAUUUCACUACUCCAUCGACUGCCUCUACAACAUCUUCCUUUUUGGCAGUUAGACUCAUAAUGUCAUUCAAAUUUAGACCAACAGUUUCAUUUCCAAUAUCCCUGCUGUUACUCAUUGUUAAAAGACACUGGAGGGCUCUUUUCAGAUCAUUGCUCUGCAUUGCCAGAUCAAAUUCCAAUCUGGCAUACAUAAAGUAGCAAAUCCAUCAAAAUCAAAUUAUACAACAUUUACAAAACAUACUGCUCAAAUACUUCUAAAGUAGUCAUAAAAUUCCUAACUCCGGUAGUAUCUGAACAAACUCGAAGGAACCAAGAUUGUUGUUGUCAACAUCCACCGCUACACAUACACUACUUAAAUACAUAGCACGGCCACUAGCAAAGGCCUUGUUUUACAGAUUAAUAUAUAGUGUACUUAUUGUUGGCAUCAAGCAAACUAAACCUCUUAGAUAUUCCGGGCAAAUGAAGUGCUUCAGUAGCAUAACCCAUCCCAAGCAUAAACUGGGCUAAAUCAUCAUGAUGUUCUCUGCCAAGCCUACUUGCCCUGCAAGGAAGGUAGGCUUAGAUAUACAUAAACAAAUAAUGUAUAAUAAACUUAAUUAUAAACACCAAAAAGUAUAUAAUUCUUACCAUUUUACUGCACUAACUGCAUCUCCGUAGGCAGCUAGACAACGGCAACGGAUUCCAGGAUGGCUGAGGGAUAUUGCAUGGGUAGACAUGUAUCUAUUUUCAAAUAAAAAUAUCAUACAUCAGUAAUAUAUAGCAGUUUUUAAAGCUACGUAAAAAAAAAAAAAAGAAAAAAAAAGAAACAGUGAAUACAAAAAUGUUAUCUUGUUUCAAUUAGGACAUCUGUUAUUUGCUGUAAAAACAUCAUAUCACUUUCUAAUUCUCCAAGAAAUAAAACCAAAUUAAAUGAUUGAGGGGGAGUAUUUGAGAUUUAACAUGCAUAGUGUAUANUCGGUUUUUAUUUGGUGCGGUUUUGUGCGGUUUUUGCGGUUUUAAAUUAGGUUUCGGUUUUCUGUUCGGUUUUUGCUCAUCCCUAGUUUCUUUCACCAUCCUCGUCUUUGGCCUACAUUGCAAUCAUCAUUGGCACCACUAUUACCAGUGCAAUUUCAGCAUACAUCUAUUAUAAAAAAUUUAACACUUACAAUCUGAAGAAAAAUUUUAUUUUCAAAAUUUAUGGUUCUACAAUAGAAUAAUUCUCGAUGAUUAUUAUUCUGUUAUAGAAUCAUGUAGAUGAAUUGCAUAAUUUUCGAUGAUUUUUGGAAUAAAAAAAUUGAACAAUUUCAUUUUCGAUUUACUAAUUACAGUUUGUAUUAUAUUUCAUAGAAAAUAUAAUACAUAUAUACAUAUUAUUUACAUAUUUUAUAGUAGUAUUUUAUAGAACUCCAUAUAAGAUGGUAUGUUAUAAAGUGGUACACACGUGUAUAUAUCUUUUGGGUCAUAUGCAUUUAAGCAUACAUUAAUAGCCGAUCCUAAUAUAUAUAGAUUAAUUGAUCCACUUGUGACAGCAGUAGAUAGCUGACCCUCAUAAUUAUAAAUAUGAAUCAUAUUGCACAUUCAUGAAGACAUUUUCAUAAAAUAUAGAAUAUAUUAUUUUAAAUGAAAAAAUUCUAAUUGAUUAUCAUUCAACGAAAUAGGAGACAACAAGUGAAAUAAUUGGCAGGGUCGAAAUCCUUGGACUCUCUUUUUCAUUUUCUCUCGGCGCGAUUAUCCUAAACUCCAUAGUCGACGGGGCUUUCAUCGGUUUUACCCGAUAAAAAGCCCCAAACUUUCUUAUUUGCUUUAUUCGAUUUGUUUCCUCAAUAAUCUUUCUUUUCGGGAAAAGAUUUCUAUUCUUUUGAUUUGUUUGGGUUUUUUUUCUUUAUGUACUUCAUUGGAGCUUUCAAUUUAUCAUUUUCUCCGAUUCAAGGGGACCUUAUCAGAUUCGAUAGUAAAUCGACUAUCUUGUGGUUUCGACUAUCUGAUCUAAGAGUUUUUUUUUAUUUUCAUUUGUUUUCAGUUUGCUUUUAUUUCAAUUUUUUACUUGAAUUUUCAGGUUGUUUUCUCACCAAGCUUUUAUAUUAUAAGCGGAAGUCUUGAUUUGGUGAUGAUAUUUUGCGUGGAAUCGCAAUUCUCGUCUUUAACUCAAACGAUAACUUAAUCAGGACAUGAUGAAAAUGGUAUUAGUAAUUCAACAAGAAUACAUCAAAUUUCAUGGAUACUUGUAUUUGUAUAUAUAAUAUAUUCGAAUAUCGUUUAACUUCUCUUCAUGAAAACUGAUUCUCUUCAUGAAAACAACAGGUGAUAACAAUUGUUUGUUUGUUUGACUCGAUCAUUGGUGUAUAUACCGUAUGACGUUUUAUUAUAAAAUUAACACAUUUGUUUCAAAAAAAUUGAAAUAAAUAAAUUUCGACUCUCAACUACUAGAAAUAUUUUAAUUAGACAAAAUUUAAAAUUCGAAGAGACUACUUACAAAUCCACGAAAAAGGCCUCGGAUCUCACAAAAUGUAGAAGUAAUGCUCAGAAUAUUAGAUUUGGGAAUAAUGGCCCCAUACACCAGUUAUUAACGUCUGAUGAUCUAGUGUUUUCAUUUAAGAAAGAAAACGCUAGAUCGUGUAGAGUUUUGUUGUUUUAACCCUAACAAAACGCUACACAAUGCAGCGUUAUGUUAUUUUAACCCUAACAAAACGCUACGUAAACUAGCGUUCUAUUCUUUUAACCCUAACAGAACACUAGAUGAUGUAGCGUUUUGUAUGAAUAUCCAAAACGCUACACAAUGCAACGUUAAUAAAUGGUAUUUGAAGUUAUUAAAUGGUAUUUGAGGUCAUUUUUUGAUAUCAUGAAUGACAUUAAUGAUGGAUAUAGCAAUAAUUAAGGCGAAUACCCUUCAUCCACAACUCUUAGAAAAGAUUUUAUUACAAAUGAAUUUCCUGUUGGAAACAUGGCAGGGGACAACUACUAAAAGUAAUUUGAUUUAUGUUAGAGAUAUGUGUCACUUGUUCCCAUCUAAUUUAUACGUUUGUGCAGACUUGACACAACCCUAUCAUUGGGUAAUUUUUCUUUGCAGUAACCCAGCGAGAACGCAAUACAAUUUAGACGACAGACUCAAAAGGUAAAACUGUUAACCCAAUUGUGCAUUCGUUAUUUUGCAUCCACCAGUUGCAAUAUGUUCGUUUCUAAACACAACACGCCACACUGGUUUGUCAAGAAUAUUGUGCCGUUAAUGGAAGAUGACUAUUAUGCACCUCGAAUUCUCAGACAUUCAAGACAAAAGUGGUCGAACAUGUUUAAAUAGCUUCAAAAACAGAAACCACGUGUUUAAAUUGGCAUGAGAAUGUUACAAAAAUAUAGUAAUAGACCCAGAAAAAGAAUGGAGCAACUGUGGUAGACUACAGAUAUAAAACAAAAGUCAAGCCGAAUAAAAAAUAUUUCCCGUCUGCAACCAUGCAAACCCAUGCAAACCCUAUUUUCACUUUGUACUCUAUAAUGAUAGCCCCUCUUUGAUGAUACAAACAACAAACUAUAUACCAAAAAUCAACAGCGUCAUCAGGUUGCUAGUGUCAAGUAAAGAAAUCCAGAGGUAAUUCAGGUCGGACAUUCUGCUUAGGUACGGGUAACUGGGAAGGAGCUUCAGUAGGUACUAAAUUACUAGUGGAAGUUAGUGAAGUUUCAGUUGCUACUAAACCGGAAACACUUACAGGAGGUGUAUUAGAUGGAUUAUCUAAACUUCGUUCACUUGUUUCUGAUGUAACUGCUGCACUUGAUUCUGAUGUGGGUCCUGCUGCACUAAUAGUUGAUUCUGAAGGCAAAUUAGAGCCUGUAUCUGAAGCUGGACGAGCACUAGUUUCUGCUGUUGGUAUUUCCACUGAUUCUGAGACGGCUGUUUCAGAUGGAGGAACGCCUGUUUCUGAUGGAGGACCACCUGCUUCUGAUGGAGGAGCGCCUGUUUCUGAG
rnacentral:lncRNA from 1 species